UGCAGCGUGGCUCAGUGGAAAGAGCCCGGGCUUGGGAGUCCGAGGUCAUGGGUUCAAAUCCCGGCUCUGCCA
rfam:Ornithorhynchus anatinus chromosome 2, whole genome shotgun sequence.